rnacentral:lncRNA from 1 species
AUGUGGCCAUGGGGCCACAGGACAUCACUGCGGACGGAGGUUCUUAUGCAGAUUAAUGAGGAUGGAGACCGUUGCAGAACUAUAAGCUCCCCAGGGGCUGACAGAAGCCUGGGAACACCCGAGACACCAGAGUCGCUGCUGCCCUGGGUGGAAGGAAACCUGCCCUGGAAGAUGGGAAACGCAAUACGGAGAAAGUACCAAGGCAGUGGCUCCCUACCUGUGAGUAGUCAGAAAGGUUCACGCAGUUUUCCAGGGCGGCCUUUGCAUUUACUGGAACUAUUACGAGCUCGUUCCUGCUUCGGCGGCCAUUGACACGCAGUUCGUGUGAGGCCGUGCGUGGCUUAGCGUCUUCUGCAGGCUUAGAAGUCACUUUCUGUUCUUCCCCAAGCCUGCUCCGCUGUGCCGAGUAUUUACUGCGGGCGACGGUCACGCUGUCUGGCACAGGCCACCAAGGCCACAGGGCAGGCUCCACCUAGCGGAGCCUGCAGAAUGGCAGAGUUCGGCCUCCUUGCCGCCCUUCACGGGGAGCAGAAAGCGCAAGCCUGUGAUCAGAGCUGUGCUAGCCCAGAAAGCCUCCGAACAGGUUGAAUUGAGGAAUCGGCUCCUAUCAACUGCCCAUGUUUAGGAUGUGUCUGAGUUUUUGUGAUUUUUCCUGCACUGAAGCUACUGGGCUGGCUCUGAGUCACCGUCAUGGGACUUCACUUGCCCCGACGGGAAGCGGCGGGGGAGGAGGGCUGCACAGAGGCUUGCGGCCGUGAUAAUGAAGGGCUUGUUGCCUCUUGGGACAGCGAGUUCAAACUCUUUGUAAUUGUCAGCAUAAAGAGUGACCCGCUGAGGACACGGCUGUAAUUCAGGGUGGCAUGGUUGAUUGUCAUAGUUGAUAUCAGGUAUCUGCCUCUAAAAUGACGG